AGAUCUAGUGGCGAACGGGUGAGGAUCACGUGAGAAACCUGCCCCAGACUCUGGGAUAACAAUUGGAAACGAUUGCUAAUACCGGAUGACGUCGGAGAACCGCAUGGUUCACUGACGAAAGAUAUUUCGGUUUGGGAGGGUCUCGCGGCCUAUCAGCUAGUUGGUGAGGUAAAGGCUCACCAAGGCGACGACGGGUAGCUGGUCUGAGAGGAUGGUCAGCCACACUGGGACUGAGACACGGCCCAGACUCC
rnacentral:rRNA from 1 species